GUGUCGGUAGUGCAGCGGUUUAGCACGUGCUCCCGAAAAGAGUGAGAUCUGGGUUUGAAUCCCAGCUGACGUA